rnacentral:rRNA from 1 species
AUUGAACGCUGGCGGCAGGCCUAACACAUGCAAGUCGAAUGGUAACAGGAAACAGCUUGCUGUUUCGCUGACGAGUGGCGGACGGGUGAGUAAUGUCUGGGAAACUGCCUGAUGGAGGGGGAUAACUACUGGAAACGGUAGCUAAUACUGCAUAACGUCGCAAGACCAAAGAGGGGGACCUUCGGGCCUCUUGCCAUCAGAUGUGCCCAGAUGGGAUUAGCUAGUAGGUGGGGUAACGGCUCACCUAGGCGACGAUCCCUAGCUGGUCUGAGAGGAUGACCAGCCACACUGGAACUGAGACACGGUCCAGACUCCUACGGGAGGCAGCAGUGGGGAAUAUUGCACAAUGGGCGCAAGCCUGAUGCAGCCAUGCCGCGUGUAUGAAGAAGGCCUUCGGGUUGUAAAGUACUUUCAGCGGGGAGGAAGGGAGUAAAGUUAAUACCUUUGCUCAUUGACGUUACCCGCAGAAGAAGCACCGGCUAACUCCGUG